UGGAUUUGACAUAUAGGGCCCUUACGGACCUGCUAUCUCUAGCAGUUUUCCCUAUAUGUCAAAUCCAGGUAAGGUUCUUCGCGUUGCAUCGAAUUAAUCCGCAUGCUCCGCCGCUUGUGCGGGCCCCCGUCAAUUCCUUUGAGUUUUAGCCUUGCGGCCGUACUCCCCAGGCGGGGCGCUUAAUGCGUUAGCUACGGCGCGGAAAACGUGGAAUGUCCCCCACACCUAGUGCCCAACGUUUACGGCAUGGACUAC
rnacentral:misc_RNA from 1 species